UACGUAGGCAGCAAGCGUUGUUCGGAGUUACUGGGCGUAAAGGGUGUGUAGGCGGUUGUUUAAGUUUGGUGUGAAAUCUCCCGGCUCAACCGGGAGGGUGCGCCGAAUACUGAAUGACUUGGAGUGCGGGAGAGGAAAGUGGAAUUCCUGGUGUAGCGGUGAAAUGCGUAGAUAUCAGGAGGAACACCGGUGGUGUAGACGGCUUUCUGGACCGUAACUGACGCUGAGGCGCGAAAGCGUGGGUAGCAAACAGG
rnacentral:rRNA from 1 species